rnacentral:lncRNA from 1 species
CUAAUACAACAUUGUAAGUCAACUAUACUCCAGUAAAAUUGAAAAAAAAAAAGUCAUAGAAGAGGAGAUGAAUGAUGUUCAGUGUCACUAAUAAACCAGGGAAAUGCAAAAUAAAUUAUAAUGAGAUACUAAAAAAAAAAAAAAAAGAGUGAGUCUAGCACCCUUCGAGCCUCAUUUGCCCACACUCAAAGGUGGGUACCACAAGGUGGGUGCCUCAACGGUACCACGCUGAUGAUCCUAUUCUCCAGAGACAUUCGGCUGGAAGGCAGAAAGUCCCCUGGGGCACAUCACGGGACAGUCUUUCCACCAGGAUUCACAGAGCUUUGCCAUCAUCUCUGAUCGCUGCUGCCACAGAAGACCAGCCAGCAGAGCUGCAUGUGCAGACCUGGGAAACGCUUUCAACUGAAUUUUUUUGAGGAAAAUGUACAUUUGCAAACUGAUUACUGAUAUUUUAGAGUGGAUUUGUUGGGUCUGUUUUGUCCUGUUGCCUAAACUCAAUUCAGUUUAACAUUCAUUUAUGGAAUCUUCGGUAAGGACAGAGAUUAAAGCUACGGAGGGUACCUACAAAGUUACAACACUGGGUAGGUAUCCAAGCACAAAAAGGGAAUGUAACACAAGAUAGAGUAAGAUAGGUGUCUUGGGAUGUGUAAAACAGUGCUCCUUGACCACGAUGCUGUUAAAUGUUGGUGUCAGAAAUGGGAUACUGAUGAGGAAAAGGGUGAACAACAGAAGGCAAGAAGCCUCUGUAUCAAACACUUCCACAACAAGUAAAUACAGACUUGAAUUCUGAGAGGGGUCUGUGCUUUUCUGGCCACAGUGGAACUUAGAUGUGCCUUGUAAGUCAACCUGUUUUCAGAGUAUGUGUGGAGAAGCGGAUACUUAUUUUUACGACUUUACCUUUGAGAUCGUUUUAGGUUUACAACAAAAUUGAAAGGAAGGUACAGAGAUUUCCCCUAUGUCUCCUCUCCCCCCCACACACAUAACCUCCCCCAAUAUCAAUGUCACUCACCAGAACAGGUCUUUUUUUUUUUUUUUUUUUUUAACCAAG